UACGUAGGUGGCAAGCGUUGUCCGGAAUUAUUGGGCGUAAAGCGCGCGCAGGCGGUUCCUUAAGUCUGAUGUGAAAGCCCCCGGCUCAACCGGGGAGGGUCAUUGGAAACUGGGGAACUUGAGUGCAGGAGAGGAAAGCGGAAUUCCACGUGUAGCGGUGAAAUGCGUAGAUAUGUGGAGGAACACCAGUGGCGAAGGCGCUUUCUGGUCUGUAACUGACGCGAGGCGCGAAAGCGUGGGGAGCAAACAGG
rnacentral:rRNA from 1 species